AACGAACGCUGGCGGCAUGCCUAACACAUGCAAGUCGAACGAGACCUUCGUGUGUAGUUGCUCACGGGUGCGUAAAGCGUGGGAACCUGCCCUUAUGUUCCGAAUACCUCCUCGAAAGGGGUGCUAACGUCGGAUAAUGUAUGCGGACCAAACAUUUAUCGCCUUUGGAUGGGCCCGCGUUGGAUUAACUUGUUGGUAGGGUAAAAGCCUAUCACGGCUACGCUCCCUAGCUGGUCUGAGAGACAGAUCAGCCACACUUAGACUGGGACACGGCCCGGAAUAUUGCGGGAUGGAGGAAAGGGGAAUCUUGGAAUAUGGGCUGAGUCCUGAACCACCAAUGCUGCUUGAGCGCUGAAGUCGGGAGAGAUGUAAAGCUGUUUUACACGGCACGAUAAUGACAGUACCCAGAGAAUAAGCACCGGCUAACUCCGUG
rnacentral:rRNA from 1 species